rnacentral:sRNA from 1 species
AAACCCCGAGCGCGGCGGCGUCCGGAGGGCAGCGGCGGCGGCGGCGGCGGCGUCUCGGCGACGGUUCCCUGGGCGCCCCCGGCUCCUGCUCCCUGAGCCCGCCUUAGACCAGAACACUGCGGAAGAGGAAAUCCAUCAUGGAAACCCGAGAGUGACAGGACCCUUGCUUGGUGACAAGGAGAGCUGGUCAUGUCGACAGCCCUCUCUUACCUCGUCCCGUCUCAGCAGAUGUCCAUGGGGUCGUAUUGGGAGUGACUUUUGUACCAGUUGGCUUGGCUGAUUUUGGAAAGAGCGGAAGAACCCCCGUUCACCUUGGUUUCAUCACCUUAAAUGGUUUUGAACCAAUGAAGCUAUAUUCCCUUAAAAAGACGGACAGCCCAUCGUGUGAACUAUAGAGUUUGUGGACAGAUU